UACGAAGGGGGCUAGCGUUGUUCGGAAUUACUGGGCGUAAAGAGCGUGUAGGCGGCUUGGUAAGUCCGCUGUGAAAGUCCAGGGCUCAACCCUGGAAUGCCGGUGGAAACUGUCAAGCUUGAGUCCGGAAGAGGCGAGUGGAAUUCCUGGUGUAGCGGUGAAAUGCGCAGAUAUCAGGAGGAACACCAAUGGCGAAGGCAGCUCGCUGGGACGGUACUGACGCUGAGACGCGAAAGCGUGGGGAGCAAACAGG
rnacentral:rRNA from 1 species